AGCGUACACGGUGGAUGCCCUGGCAGUCAGAGGCGAUGAAGGACGUGCUAAUCUGCGAUAAGCGUCGGUAAGGUGAUAUGAACCGUUAUAACCGGCGAUUUCCGAAUGGGGAAACCCAGUGUGAUUCGUCACACUAUCAUUAACUGAAUCCAUAGGUUAAUGAGGCGAACCGGGGGAACUGAAACAUCUAAGUACCCCGAGGAAAAGAAAUCAACCGAGAUUCCCCCAGUAGCGGCGAGCGAACGGGGAGGAGCCCAGAGCCUGAAUCAGUGUGUGUGUUAGUGGAAGCGUCUGGAAAGGCGCGCGAUACAGGGUGACAGCCCCGUACACAAAAAUGCACAUGCUGUGAGCUCGAUGAGUAGGGCGGGACACGUGGUAUCCUGUCUGAAUAUGGGGGGACCAUCCUCCAAGGCUAAAUACUCCUGACUGACCGAUAGUGAACCAGUACCGUGAGGGAAAGGCGAAAAGAACCCCGGCGAGGGGAGUGAAAAAGAACCUGAAACCGUGUACGUACAAGCAGUGGGAGCACGCUUCGGCGUGUGACUGCGUACCUUUUGUAUAAUGGGUCAGCGACUUAUAUUCUGUAGCAAGGUUAACCGAAUAGGGGAGCCGAAGGGAAACCGAGUCUUAACUGGGCGUUAAGUUGCAGGGUAUAGACCCGAAACCCGGUGAUCUAGCCAUGGGCAGGUUGAAGGUUGGGUAACACUAACUGGAGGACCGAACCGACUAAUGUUGAAAAAUUAGCGGAUGACUUGUGGCUGGGGGUGAAAGGCCAAUCAAACCGGGAGAUAGCUGGUUCUCCCCGAAAGCUAUUUAGGUAGCGCCUCGUGAAUUCAUCUCCGGGGGUAGAGCACUGUUUCGGCAAGGGGGUCAUCCCGACUUACCAACCCGAUGCAAACUGCGAAUACCGGAGAAUGUUAUCACGGGAGACACACGGCGGGUGCUAACGUCCGUCGUGAAGAGGGAAACAACCCAGACCGCCAGCUAAGGUCCCAAAGUCAUGGUUAAGUGGGAAACGAUGUGGGAAGGCCCAGACAGCCAGGAUGUUGGCUUAGAAGCAGCCAUCAUUUAAAGAAAGCGUAAUAGCUCACUGGUCGAGUCGGCCUGCGCGGAAGAUGUAACGGGGCUAAACCAUGCACCGAAGCUGCGGCAGCGACACUAUGUGUUGUUGGGUAGGGGAGCGUUCUGUAAGCCUGUGAAGGUGUACUGUGAGGUAUGCUGGAGGUAUCAGAAGUGCGAAUGCUGACAUAAGUAACGAUAAAGCGGGUGAAAAGCCCGCUCGCCGGAAGACCAAGGGUUCCUGUCCAACGUUAAUCGGGGCAGGGUGAGUCGACCCCUAAGGCGAGGCCGAAAGGCGUAGUCGAUGGGAAACAGGUUAAUAUUCCUGUACUUGGUGUUACUGCGAAGGGGGGACGGAGAAGGCUAUGUUGGCCGGGCGACGGUUGUCCCGGUUUAAGCGUGUAGGCUGGUUUUCCAGGCAAAUCCGGAAAAUCAAGGCUGAGGCGUGAUGACGAGGCACUACGGUGCUGAAGCAACAAAUGCCCUGCUUCCAGGAAAAGCCUCUAAGCAUCAGGUAACAUCAAAUCGUACCCCAAACCGACACAGGUGGUCAGGUAGAGAAUACCAAGGCGCUUGAGAGAACUCGGGUGAAGGAACUAGGCAAAAUGGUGCCGUAACUUCGGGAGAAGGCACGCUGAUAUGUAGGUGAAGCGACUUGCUCGUGGAGCUGAAAUCAGUCGAAGAUACCAGCUGGCUGCAACUGUUUAUUAAAAACACAGCACUGUGCAAACACGAAAGUGGACGUAUACGGUGUGACGCCUGCCCGGUGCCGGAAGGUUAAUUGAUGGGGUUAGCGCAAGCGAAGCUCUUGAUCGAAGCCCCGGUAAACGGCGGCCGUAACUAUAACGGUCCUAAGGUAGCGAAAUUCCUUGUCGGGUAAGUUCCGACCUGCACGAAUGGCGUAAUGAUGGCCAGGCUGUCUCCACCCGAGACUCAGUGAAAUUGAACUCGCUGUGAAGAUGCAGUGUACCCGCGGCAAGACGGAAAGACCCCGUGAACCUUUACUAUAGCUUGACACUGAACAUUGAGCCUUGAUGUGUAGGAUAGGUGGGAGGCUUUGAAGUGUGGACGCCAGUCUGCAUGGAGCCGACCUUGAAAUACCACCCUUUAAUGUUUGAUGUUCUAACGUUG
rnacentral:rRNA from 1 species